GCUAAUCAACUCGGCUCAACUGCACAUCCCAGCUCGACACCGGCUCGUGUCCCUGGCAGCGCCUCCACAGGGACUUUGGGACGCCAUUUGGCUCGGCGACUGGUGGAGAUCGGCGUCAGUGAUGUCUUCUCUGUCCCUGGAGACUUCAACUUGACUCUUUUGGAUCAUCUGAUUGCAGAGCCCGGGCUGAAUUUGAUCGGUUGCUGUAACGAGCUGAACGCUGGAUACGCUGCCGAUGGUUAUGCACGUUCCAGAGGCGUAGGGGCCUGCGUGGUGACUUUCACUGUGGGUGGUCUCAGUGUGAUUAAUGCCAUCGCUGGUGCUUAUAGUGAGAAUUUGCCCGUGAUUUGUAUCGUUGGCGGUCCAAAUUCUAAUGAUUAUGGGACUAACCGGAU
rnacentral:misc_RNA from 1 species